UACGGAGGGAGCUAGCGUUGUUCGGAAUUACUGGGCGUAAAGCGCGCGUAGGCGGUCCAUCAAGUCAGAGGUGAAAGCCCGGGGCUCAACCCCGGAACUGCCUUUGAAACUGGCGGACUAGAAUCUUGGAGAGGCGAGUGGAAUUCCGAGUGUAGAGGUGAAAUUCGUAGAUAUUCGGAAGAACACCAGUGGCGAAGGCGACUCGCUGGACAAGUAUUGACGCUGAGGUGCGAAAGCGUGGGGAGCAAACAGGAUUAGAUACCCCGGUAGU
rnacentral:rRNA from 1 species